GUUGAAAGGACCCACGGUGCGGUAACUAGCAAGCAUCACUCCAAAAGACUAUCAUAUCCUUGACUAUCAAGCAAGGGAAUCACUAGUUCCAUCUUGGUACUAAGGAUAAUAGAAUAUGUCCAUACGCAGGGGACAAGCACUAAUUUCCUUUAACUAGUUAGGUGUGUUUAGCGGCAACCAAAAUGGGUUCCACAUUUGUUGUCAAAUUAUGUACCGUCUGCAAUGAAUGUAAUCUAUGCAGUGGGGCAUUCUACAUAAGCCCCCCAAAUUCUUUUUCUUAGUUAUACAUUUGCUUGAUUUUUGUGCAAUAACUUGCUUCACUUUA